AGUGUGAAGGGAAGGCUAAGGACGCAUCGGUGCUGGAGAGUUGAGAAUAUGCCUUCCCCUCCACCCCCAACCCAGUCACCUUAUUUGAAAAAAAAUUAAAAAACACCUUUUAUUUAAAAACCUAACCCUGGAAGUUUGCUCGCUGCCUGAAAAUCAUAUGCGUGGUUUUUCCUGUUUCCUGCUCUGUAGCUGACAUCAGGGGAGCAACGUGAACACAGGAAAAUGGAAAUCAACAUUUGAAACUUUUAAAUGGAAGCUUUAUUGGGGUUCCACAUAUGGAAAACUGCAAAUAGCAGAAGUAUGUGACUCAAUAAAUUAUUCUGGAGUGACCACAUCCUCUAACUGCCUCCCAGGACAAGACGGAGAAUGUGAACAAUGCUCCUGAAGGCCCCUUUCCCUCAAAGAAUCACUGCAAUUGAAGGAAAAAUGCUCCAUGUCCCCUCUGCCAGUUGGUGUUUAUCAAAGGACAACGGAGGAAGAGAGACAAAGUGCCUGGAUGUGUGUGUUAAUCAAGAGUUGUCAGGACCCUGCCUCUAAAAGAAAGCGCUAAAAUGAUGCUUUUGACAAGACUUUUCUCAAAGUGGAUGCAGUCUAAGGGUUGGAAAACAAGGCCCAAUCAGGCUAGGUCUGACUUGUCGCCUGCUUUUGUAAAUAAAGUUUUAUUGGCUCACAGAC
rnacentral:lncRNA from 1 species